AAUUAUUGGGCGUAAAGAGCUCGUAGGCGGUUUGUCGCGUCUGCUGUGAAAACCCGAGGCUCAACCUCCCAGCUGCAGUGGGUACGGGCAGACUAGAGUGCGGUAGGGGAGAUUGGAAUUCCUGGUGUAGCGGUGGAAUGCGCAGAUAUCAGGAGGAACACCGAUGGCGAAGGCAGAUCUCUGGGCCGUAACUGACGCUGAGGAGCGAAAGGGUGGGGAGCAAACAGGCUUAGAUACCCUGGUAGUCCACCCCGUAAACGUUGGGAACUAGUUGUGGGGUCCAUUCCACGGAUUCCGUGACGCAGCUAACGCAUUAAGUUCCCCGCCUGGGGAGUACGGCCGCAAGGCUAAAACUCAAAGGAAUUGACGGGGACCCGCACAAGCGGCGGAGCAUGCGGAUUAAUUCGAUGCAACGCGAAGAACCUUACCAAGGCUUGACAUAUACGAGAACGGGCCAGAAAUAGUCAACUCUUUGGACACUCGUAAACAGGUGGUGCAUGGUUGUCGUCAGCUCGUGUCGUGAGAUGUUGGGUUAAGUCCCGCAACGAGCGCAACCCUCGUUCUAUGUUGCCAGCACGUAAUGGUGGGAACUCAUGGGAUACUGCCGGGGUCAACUCGGAGGAAGGUGGGGAUGACGUCAAAUCAUCAUGCCCCUUAUGUCUUGGGCUUCACGCAUGCUACAAUGGCCGGUACAAAGGGCUGCAAUACCGUAAGGUGGAGCGAAUCCCAAAAAGCCGGUCCCAGUUCGGAUUGAGGUCUGCAACUCGACCUCAUGAAGUCGGAGUCGCUAGUAAUCGCAGAUCAGCAACG
rnacentral:rRNA from 1 species